rnacentral:rRNA from 1 species
ACGGAAGGCAGCAGUGGGGAAUAUUGGGCAAUGGGCGCAAGCCUGAUGGAGCAACGCCGCGUGAGUGAUGAAGGUUUUCGGAUCGUAAAACUCUGUUGUAAGGGAAGAACAAGUGCGUUAGGUAAUGAACGCGCCUUGACGGUACCUUAUUAGAAAGCCACGGCUAACUACGUGCCAGCAGCCGCGGUAAUACGUAGGUGGCAAGCGUUGUCCGGAUUUAUUGGGCGUAAAGCGCGCGCAGGUGGUUUCUUAAGUCUGAUGUGAAAGCCCACGGCUCAACCGUGGAGGGUCAUUGGAAACUGGGAGACUUGAGUGCAGAAGAGGAUAGUGGAAUUCCAAGUGUAGCGGUGAAAUGCGUAGAGAUUUGGAGGAACACCAGUGGCGAAGGCGACUGUCUGGUCUGUAACUGACACUGAGGCACGAAAGCGUGGGGAGCAAACAGGAUUAGAUACCCUGGUA